UACGUAGGGGGCUAGCGUUGUCCGGAAUCAUUGGGCGUAAAGCGCGUGUAGGCGGUCCGGUAAGUCCGGCUGUGAAAUCUCCGGGCUUAACUCGGAACGGUCAGCUGAUACUGCUUUGCUAGAGUGCAGAAGGGCAAUCGGAAUUCUUGGUGUAGCGGUGAAAUGCGUAGAUAUCGAGAGGAACACCUGCGGCGAAGGCGGGUUGCUGGGCUGAUACUGACGCUGAGGCGCGAAAGCUAGGGGAGCGAACGGG
rnacentral:rRNA from 1 species